ACAAAACCAACUAUUAUUUCUUCAAAAGAAAAAUCCCAUUUUCUUUUCAUUGUUCUUCCCGUUUUCUUCUUUUCAUUCUUUAUCUCUUCCUUUCUCAUUCCCUUUUUCUUUCUCUUUAACUUCUGGUGAAUCAGCGAUUGAAGGAAAGAAAUCACUAAACGUUAGUUGAUUUAGAUCCUUAAAUUUAAGUAGCGUGGAGUUUCAAGGACAAGUCUGCAAAUGGUUCUUUUGCUGUGGAAUGAGCGAUUACGCUAUAUUUGGAAACUAGAGAACUCAAUUUUAGGAACAUCGGGCCUAAGUGGCACCCCACCAACUCGGUGGCUACCCGGAAGAUCGUUGCGGCAACGAUGGCUGGUAACCAGAACUACCCUGAUGGUGGCACUGGCCAUGAAAGAAUAGAGUAACGUUAUUUGAGUUUAAAUGAAUGACAGCUUACAAAUAUUUUGCAGCUAGCUUGAUGUAGUAAGCUAAGAAGAGCUUAUGGCGUGGAGCUAUGGACACAAUGUGGUAUAUGUUGUCGUCCUUGUAUAUAUAUAUAUCAUGGGUUGUUUGGAGGAUUUUUAUCUGGGAUGUUUGGUGUUAAUCUGAAGUUAGUUUUUAUUAAAUUUUUCCCAACCAUGGAUGCUGAAAGUCUUGUACACUGAAAUAAUAGUUUCUUUUGCAAAUGCCUGUGCAUUUUUAGAUGUACAUUUUUACAGCUAACUUCAUUUUGUUAAUGGGAGUUGAGUAUCAAAUCCCCUUGUUUUUUCAUAAUUUCUAUUAGAUAAAAAUCUUUCUGUUUUAAUGUUAAGCAUUUCUUUUGUUAUUA